CUAAGCUUAGCCCUUCUCGCUGAAAGUACAAGAUGUAGAUAAACCCGCAGAUUUAUAACCUAACAGCUUUAGUUAAGAUAUUCCAGUUCUUGACAAAUAUUUGCAUAAAGCAAAAUAUAUAAGUAACUAAAAAGUUGAUAAUCACAUGCAGAGCGAAGGUUCCUCUCAUCCUCCUCCUCAAGGCUUCAGUGAGUGAUGCCAAUUUCCAAUAGGGUUUGGCCCGGAAGGCACCUUAUGAACCGUAACUUUAGCCAACCUCCUUGAUUUAAUCUUUUCGCAUAAACAACAAUUAAAAUUUGUGUUAGUAGAGAAUCGCGCGCAUAGAAGAUAUCAGGCGGUAGCAUAUUAAAUUAAAUUACCUUGUUUACCCAAGUAGCUAAUAUGUACCGGCUGGCUGAGCUCAUUCUUGAUUUUCCAGUUUCAAGCUUAAAAUCAACUGCAUGAACAACGAUCACAACUAGAAGUAAUGCUAAUAAUAAUUAUUAUUUUUUAACAAACUCAUCAGUUGCAAAGGCUGGAAGUACAAGUACUCGCCUGAUUCUGCAGCUUGAAUUAUGAUGGCCGCGGCGAAACUGCAAUAAGAAACCAUAAGGAAUGCCAAGAAGAGACUAACGUAUGCUUUAUUCUUCAUCGUGAC
rnacentral:lncRNA from 1 species